AAGUGUUGGACUCAAUCCGAUAUCGAUUGGUCCAUGAAAUUGGACAAUUCAGGUUCGUACAAAGUUCGUUAUGAAAGGGAUUGGUUGGUGUAUUGCAUAGUUCUAGAGAUUGGAUUUCACUCAAAACCCGCCAAAUGACUCCUCCCACCAUAAUAUGAUAUUCCCCAAGUUUUGGACUCAAUCCGAUCCCUAUUAGUCCAUGAAAUUGGACAAUUUCGAUUCGUACGAAGUUCGCUAUGAAAAGGAGUGGUUAGUGUAUUGCAUAGUUGUAGCCUUUGG
rnacentral:lncRNA from 1 species